GGAGGAGUUGAGCAACGGUGGCUCCCCUGUCUUGAAAACAGGUGUCUGCAAAGACAUGCAGGUUCGAAUCCUG
rnacentral:tRNA from 1 species